GCUCCGGUGGUCUAAUGGUUAGAGCGUCCGCCUCUGAUGGGGGAGGUCGUGGGUUCUAUCCCCGAUCGUGUCA